UGGGAUGCAACUCAGUGGUAGAGUGUUUGUCAAGCAUUUCCAAGACCCUGGGUUCAAUUCCCAGCAUCACAU
rnacentral:tRNA from 1 species